rnacentral:tRNA from 1 species
GUGUGUGUAAUUUAAAAAAAAUAUUAGGCCGUGACCCUAAUCAUAGGAAUUACACCUCACACACC